rnacentral:rRNA from 1 species
AAUCAACGCUGGCGGCGUGCCUCAGACAUGCAAGUCGAACGCGAAAUCUUCCUUCGGGGAGAAAGUAGAGUGGCGCACGGGUGAGUAACACGUAGGUAAUCUACCUUCGGAUGGGGAAUAACACCGAGAAAUCGGUGCUAAUACCGCAUAAUGCAGCGGCACCUAAUGGUGACAGUUGAUAAAGCGGGGGAUCGCAAGACCUCGCGUCUGAAGAGGAGCCUGCGGCGGAUUAGCUAGUUGGUAAGGUAACGGCUUACCAAGGCGAUGAUCCGUAGCCGGCCUGAGAGGGCGGUCGGCCACACUGACACUGACAUACGGGUCAGACUCCUACGGGAGGCAGCAGUCGGGAAUUUUGGGCAAUGGGCGAAAGCCUGACCCAGGAACGCCGCGUGAAGGAUGAAAUCCCUCGGGAUGUAAACUUCGCAAGAACGGGAAGAAUAAGUUGGUGUUAACAUCAUCAGCGAUGACGGUACCGUUUGUAAGCUCCGGCUAACUCCGUGCC